UUCCUAAACUUAGAACUUGGGUUCUAUUGCUGUGCCAAAGGGGUAUCAGAAAUCAUCUCAAAUUGCUCCAAUGAAUCUAGAAACAUCAUGACCACUUACUGGGGGGCGGGGGAGGGGGCGGAGAUUCAAGGCAGCAAAACAUCAUUUACAAAUUCAAAUGGUAUUCAGAGCCUCUCAGGCCCGCAGGCCUGGGGAGUGGGAAGAAUACAAUUUCCUAAACUUCAGACACCUUAGUGUCUUCGACCCCCAUGUGGACAGAAACUCAGGACACCCGCCCCCCCGCAAAUCUAUUUAUAGUAGUUACUCGUUCCAGAGUCUACAGAAAAUACUUGGGCGGGGUGGGCUGUAAAAGGAAACAUUUCUACUUGGGAAGCUUUACCUCUCCCCACCCAGUAGGCCUCCACCAAACUCCCCACCCUCCCCUUCCUCUUGUGUGGGAACUCACAUCCGCCAUGAUGAACCCCUUUCUCCCGCAGGAUCAAUCUCCACUCCUGGAAGAGAAACUCCUGGUGAUUCUCCCCUCAAGACUGCUUCCCACCUCCGACCUGAUAAGCGGAGUCAGCUCCCAUCAAAGCCAGGCAAGAACCCCCGGCUCCAGGACCCGCACCAGGCAAGCUGAGCUAAGUCGGGAGUUCCCAAAUACCCAGGCGGCAGCCGGGAUGCCCUACCUCUCAGCCCACUCCACCCUCUACCCGCCAAGAUCUAGGCCCAAAGGAAAGAGGGAGAGGGGUCCUCUCCUUCCCUGGCGUCACACCGCCCGCGCCAGCUGCGGGCCCUGGCUGAAUAACGAGCAGAGCGGCUCGAGUUACCUGGUUUGCUGGGUUGCCGUGUUCUCUCAGCUGCAAAUUCAGGGACAGCUUCAAAAACAGUCUCCUCCAAAAGCCGUCGUCACAUGAUUUGUGACCUCUGCCGUGCUCCAGGAAGCACUUCCUACGCCUCCGAGGCCCGAUGACACUAGAUUUCCGGGUAAGCGCAGUGGCUCCGGAGCGCGCCUGGGGCUUUUGCGUCCGACCCACUCGGCCCCUCCCCGCGCCUCCCCGCCCCGCCCUGCGGGCUGCUCCCUGCGCCUGCGCAGAGCUGGGGGCGUCGGGACCCAAAGUGGUGGAAAAAGCGUCGGUACUAGACCUUUCGGCACUAAAAGCCCCCCAGAAAAAUGCGUGCAAGGGGACAUUGUUGUGUGGAGAGGGUGCGUAAGUUUCGUUAGUUGUUCCAGGUCUGUUACCUUAAAAACCUUUUCUUGUAGGUGAAAAAAUUUGAAGGGGGUGGUGUUUGCACACUGAACAGCAGGCCCGAUGACUGUGAUUAGAAGUCCCAGGUUAAUAGGUUUCUGACCCCAGUGCCCUAAUCUGCCUUGGCUUUUCCUGGGUGCCACCCACGUGCUCUUACAAAAGGUCUUGUCUAGAUUGAAUACAGGAGCUGUGGGCUUUCUGGAGUCCAUCAGCAAUGCAGACAUUGGACAGCCUUCUGCGCCUUUUAAGGAUGCCCGUAUUAUUUUGUUUCGUGUCUUGCUUGUUUGCACAUUUAACAAAAACCUACGGUGGGUGGUAAGAAAAUGAAGACUGUCAGAACUGGUGGACAACUCAUCUUCAACUCCAGUCCCUAAAAGUGGAGUGCAAAAGGAAUUAACUCUAGCCCAAGACGUGGUGAAGAGUCGGAUGCUUAUUUCCUAGUUAUUCUUGAGGACGAAAUGGCAGACUGCAGAGUUCCCAGAUGUUACGGAUGACCUCUCCUCAUCAUUACAGGUUCCCGAGAAUGUGAGUCCUAAGUCUGCACCUUUCGUCAAGAGUUCUAGGUUCAGAUUUUCACCUGCUUGUGGGUUGUUGGAUAUUUCUACAUGCAUGUCUUAUUGUCAGUUCUGACUCAGAAGCUCCAAAAACUUCUCCAAUAAACCUUUUUUUCCUAA